rnacentral:rRNA from 1 species
UAGCCGAUGCACAGACGGUAGAGAUUCCGUCACCACCAAAAGAGUUAAGCACAGGGACACAUUUGAAGUCUCGGAGCCGGGUGUUGGUUCCGGUAGCGAUCGAGGGAAGUUAGUACCGAAGUCCGGGAUGGAAGAUGGCGAGAAAAGCUGUGUGUAUUUCUGCGGUGCCCGUACCGCAAACCGACACAGGUAGGUAGGAAGAAGAUUCUAAGGCCAACGGGAGAAGGGUUGUUAAGGAACUCGGCAAAUUGACCCCGUAACUUCGGGAGAAGGGGUGCUCCAGAGAUGGAGCCGCAGAGAAUCGGCCCAAGCAACUGUUUACCAAAAACACAGGUUUGUGCUAAAUCGAAAGAUGACGUAUACGAGCUGACGCCUGCCCGGUGCUGGAAGGUUAAGAGGAGAUGUGCAAGCAUUGAAUCGAAGCCCCAGUGAACGGCGGCCGUAACAAUAACGGUCCUAAGGUAGCGAAAUUCCUUGUCAGGUAAGUUCUGACCCGCAUGAAAGGCGUAAUGAUUUGGGCACUGUCUCGACAGCCCGCCCGGCGAAAUUGUAGUACCGGUGAAGAUGCCGGUUACCCGCGACAAGACGGAAAGACCCCAUGGAGCUUUACUGUAGCCUAAUAUUGGGUUUCGAUGUUGCAUGCACAGGAUAGAUGGGACACAGGGAAACAAGUGCUUUGGCAUUUGUGGAGUGGCCGUUGGGAUACCAUCCUUGCGAUAUUGGAAUUCUAACCUGCGCCUUUGAAUCAAGGCGGGGGACAUUGUUAGGUAGGCAGUUUGACUGGGGCGGUCGCCUCCUAAAGAGUAACGGAGGCGUUCAAAGGUUCGCUCAGCUUGAACGGAAAUCAAGCAAAAGAGUGCAAACGCAGAAGCGAGCCUAACUGCGAGACUGACGGGUCGAGCAGUAACGAAAGUUGGAGUUAGUGAUCCGGUGGUAUGUGAGUGGAAAUGCCAUCGCUCAACGGAUAAAAGUUACCCUGGGGAUAACAGGCUGAUCUCCCCCAAGAGUCCACAUCGACGGGGAGGUUUAGCACCUCGAUGUCGGCUCAUCGCAUCCUGGGGCUGUAUUCGGUCCCAAGGGUUUGGCCGUUCGCCAAUUAAAGCGGUACGCGAGCUGGGUUCAGAACGUCGUGAGACAGUUCGGUCCCUAUCUGUCGUGGGCGCAGGAUAUUUGAUGGGAGCUGUUCCUAGUACGAGAGGACCGGAGCGGACGUACCUCUGGCGCACCAGUUGUUCUGCCAAGGGCAUAGCUGGGCAACUAUGUACGGAUCGGAUAAACGCUGAAAGCAUCUAAGCGUGAAGCCGACCCAAAGAUAAGAUAUCCCAUUGUUUCAAACAAGUAAGACCCCUUGAAGACUACAAGGUUGAUAGGCAUGAUGUGUAAGUGGAGUGAUCCAUUCAGCAAGCAUGUACUAAUAGGUCGAGGGCUUGACC